GCCAGCUUGGCGUUGGUUGUCCAAGUUUAAGGUGGUAGGCUGAAAUCUUAGGUAAAUCCGGGGUUUCAAGGCCGAGAGCUGAUGACGAGUCGUCUUUUAGAUGACGAAGUGGUUGAUGCCAUGCUUCCAAGAAAAGCUUCUAAGCUUCAGGUAACCAGGAACCGUACCCCAAACCGACACAGGUGGUCGGGUAGAGAAUACCAAGGCGCUUGAGAGAACUCGGGUGAAGGAACUAGGCAAAAUGGCACCGUAACUUCGGGAGAAGGUGCGCCGGCUAGGGUGAAGGAUUUACUCCGUAAGCUCUGGCUGGUCGAAGAUACCAGGCCGCUGCGACUGUUUAUUAAAAACACAGCACUCUGCAAACACGAAAGUGGACGUAUAGGGUGUGACGCCUGCCCGGUGCCGGAAGGUUAAUUGAUGGGGUUAGCGCAAGCGAAGCUCUUGAUCGAAGCCCCGGUAAACGGCGGCCGUAACGAUAACGGUCCUAAGGUAGCGAAAUUCCUUGUCGGGUAAGUUCCGACCUGCACGAAUGGCGUAACGAUGGCGGCGCUGUCUCCACCCGAGACUCAGUGAAAUUGAAAUCGCUGUGAAGAUGCAGUGUAUCCGCGGCUAGACGGAAAGACCCCGUGAACCUUUACUGUAGCUUUGCACUGGACUUUGAGCCUGCUUGUGUAGGAUAGGUGGGAGGCUUUGAAGCGUGGACGCCAGUUCGCGUGGAGCCAUCCUUGAAAUACCACCCUGGCAUGCUUGAGGUUCUAACUCUGGUCCGUAAUCCGGAUCGAGGACAGUGUAUGGUGGGCAGUUUGACUGGGGCGGUCUCCUCCUAAAGAGUAACGGAGGAGUACGAAGGUGCGCUCAGACCGGUCGGAAAUCGGUCGCAGAGUAUAAAGGCAAAAGCGCGCUUGACUGCGAGACAGACACGUCGAGCAGGUACGAAAGUAGGUCUUAGUGAUCCGGUGGUUCUGUAUGGAAGGGCCAUCGCUCAACGGAUAAAAGGUACUCCGGGGAUAACAGGCUGAUACCGCCCAAGAGUUCAUAUCGACGGCGGUGUUUGGCACCUCGAUGUCGGCUCAUCACAUCCUGGGGCUGAAGCCGGUCCCAAGGGUAUGGCUGUUCGCCAUUUAAAGUGGUACGCGAGCUGGGUUUAGAACGUCGUGAGACAGUUCGGUCCCUAUCUGCCGUGGACGUUUGAGAUUUGAGAGGGGCUGCUCCUAGUACGAGAGGACCGGAGUGGACGAACCUCUGGUGUUCCGGUUGUCACGCCAGUGGCAUUGCCGGGUAGCUAUGUUCGGAAAAGAUAACCGCUGAAAGCAUCUAAGCGGGAAACUUGCCUCAAGAUGAGAUCUCACUGGGAACUUGAUUCCCCUGAAGGGCCGUCGAAGACUACGACGUUGAUAGGCUGGGUGUGUAAGCGUUGUGAGGCGUUGAGCUAACCAGUACUAAUUGCCCGUGAGGCUUGAUC
rnacentral:rRNA from 1 species